AGUGAACGCUGGCGGUAGGCCUAACACAUGCAAGUCGAACGGCAGCACAGUAAGAGCUUGCUCUUACGGGUGGCGAGUGGUGGACGGGUGAGGAAUACAUCGGAAUCUACUUUUUCGUGGGGGAUAACGUAGGGAAACUUACGCUAAUACCGCAUACGACCUACGGGUGAAAGCAGGGGAUCUUCGGACCUUGCGCGAUUGAAUGAGCCGAUGUCGGAUUAGCUAGUUGGCGGGGUAAAGGCCCACCAAGGCGACGAUCCGCAGCUGGUCUGAGAGGAUGAUCAGCCACACUGGAACUGAGACACGGUCCAGACUCCUACGGGAGGCAGCAGUGGGGAAUAUUGGACAAUGGGCGCAAGCCUGAUCCAGCCAUACCGCGUGGGUGAAGAAGGCCUUCGGGUUGUAAAGCCCUUUUGUUGGGAAAGAAAAGCAGCAGGUUAAUACCCCGCUGUUCUGACGGUACCCAAAGAAUAAGCACCGGCUAACUUCGUG
rnacentral:rRNA from 1 species